UACGUAGGGGGCUAGCGUUGUCCGGAAUCAUUGGGCGUAAAGCGCGUGUAGGCGGUCCGGUAAGUCCGCUGUGAAAGUCGGGGGCUCAACCCUCGGAUGCCGGUGGAUACUGUCGGGCUUGAGUACGGAAGAGGCGAGUGGAAUUCCUGGUGUAGUGGUGAAAUGCGUAGAUAUCGGGAGGAACACCAGUGGCGAAGGCGACUACCUGGCCUGUUCUUGACGCUGAGGCGCGAAAGCUAGGGGAGCAAACGGG
rnacentral:rRNA from 1 species